rnacentral:rRNA from 1 species
AGGGGUCUGGGUCCGAUUAGCCAUGCUAGUUGCACGAGUUCAGACUCGUGGCAGAUAGCUCAGUAACACGUGGCCCAACUACCCUAUGGAUCCGAAUAACCUCGGGAAACUGAGGCUAAUUCGGAAUACGGUUCACUGCCUGGAGUGGAGUGAAUCCGAAACGCUCCGGCGCCAUAGGAUGUGGCUGCGGCCGAUUAGGUAGACGGGGGGGUAACGGCCCACCGUGCCCUUAAUCGGUACGGGUUGUGAGAGCAAGAGCCCGGAGACGGUAUCUGAGACAAGAUACCGGGCCCUACGGGGCGCAGCAGGCGCGAAACCUUUACACUGCACGAAAGUGCGAUAAGGGGACUCCAAGUGCGAGGGCAUAUAGUCCUCGCUUUUUGCUACCGUAAGGUGGUCGCGGAAUAAGUGCUGGGCAAGACCGGUGCCAGCCGCCGCGGUAAUACCGGCAGCACGAGUGAUGACCGCUAUUAUUGGGCCUAAAGCGUCCGUAGCUGGCCGUGCAAGUCCAUCGGGAAAUCCGCGCGCUUAACGCGCGGGCGUCCGGAGCAAACUGCAUGGCUUGGUGACCGGAAGACCAGAGGGGUACGUCCGGGGUAGGAGUGAAAUCCCGUAAUCCUGGACGGACUGCUGUGGCGAUAGCCUCCUCUGGAAGACGGAUCCGACGGUGAGGGACGAAAGCUCGGGAUCACGAACCGGA